rnacentral:rRNA from 1 species
GACGAACGCUGGCGGCGUGCCUAAUACAUGCAAGUCGAACGCAGUGGGGACGGGUGAGUAACACGUGGGUAACCUCCCAUCAGAGGGGAUAACACUUGGAAACAGGUGCUAAACCGAUACUGAUGGAUGGACCCGGGGUGCAUUAGCUAGUUGGUGAGGUAACGGCUCACAAAGGCCACGAUGCAUAGCCGACCUGAGAGGGUGAGCGGCCAAACUGGGACAGAGACACGGCCCAAAGUCCCACGGGAGGAAGCGGUGGGGAAGCGUGGGCAAUGGACGAAAGUCUGACCGAGCAACGCCGCGUGAGUGAAGAAGGUUUUCGGGGCGUAAGACUCUGUUGUUAGAGAAGCGGUAUCUAACCAGAAAGCCACGGCUAACUACGUGCCAGCAGCCGCGGUAAUAC